rnacentral:rRNA from 1 species
CUGAUGAGUUGUUGCUGGUUCUCUAGGGAGCAUGUGCACACUUGUCGUUUUUAUAUCUCCACCUGUGCACUUUUUGUAGACCUGGACAUUUCUCUGAAUGCGCUGGCAUUCAGGUUUGAGGAUUGACCUUGCGGUCUCUCCUUAUAUUUCCAGGCCUAUGUUUCUUCAUACACCCCAUUGCAUGUUUAUAGAAUGUAAUAAAUGGGCCUUUGUGCCUAUAAACCUUAUACAACUUUCAGCAACGGAUCUCUUGGCUCUCGCAUCGAUGAAGAACGCAGCGAAAUGCGAUAAGUAAUGUGAAUUGCAGAAUUCAGUGAAUCAUCGAAUCUUUGAACGCACCUUGCGCUCCUUGGUAUUCCGAGGAGCAUGCCUGUUUGAGUGUCAUUAAUAUAUAUCAGCCUCUUCAGCUUUUGCUUGUUGAGUGUUGGAUGUGGGGGUCUUUUUCUGCUGGCCUUUCUCUGAGGUCAGCUCCCCUGAAAUGCAUUAGCGGAACAUUUUGUUGACCUGUUCAUUGGUGUGAUAACUAUCUACGCUAUUGACGUGAAGCAAGUUCAGCUUACUAACUGUCCAUUCAAUUGGACAAUUUUUCAUAAUGUGACCUCAAUACAGGUAGGA